CCUACGGGAGGCAGCAGUGAGGAAUAUUGGUCAAUGGGCGCGCUCCUGAACCAGCCAAGUAGCGUUAAGGAUGACUGCCCUACGGGUUGUAAACUUCUUUUAUAAGGGAAUAAAGUGAGGCACGUGUGCCUUUUUGUAUGUACUUUAUGAAUAAGGAUCGGCUAACUCCGUGCCAGCAGCCGCGAUAAUACGGAGGAUCCGAGCGUUAUCCGGAUUUAUUGGGUUUAAAGGGAGCGUAGAUGGGUUUGUAAGUCAGUGGUUAAAGUUUGCGGCUCAACCGUAAAAUUGCAAUUGAUACUGGCAGUCUUGAGUACAGUUGAGGUAGGCGGAAUUCGUGGUGUAGCGGUGAAAUGCUUAGAUAUCACGAAGAACUCCGAUUGCGAAGGCAGCUUACUAGACUGCCACUGACAUUGAUGCUCGAAAGUGUGGGUAUCAAACAGGAUUAGAUACCCGGGUAGUC
rnacentral:rRNA from 1 species